UCAGACAUUUUGGGUCGGUCCAUUGGUGAGCCUUGGGUGCACAGCAAUGCCACCUGGAUCAGCUGCGCAACUUCUGAAUCGAUGUAAUUCGUCUCUAGAUCAGGUGCAAUUGAGAGAUUCGAGGAACCGGUGCUCUAAAUCGACAACUUUGAUGUUGCGAUGACAGAGAUGUUUGGAAUCGGUCUUGCGACGAAAUGAUGCUUCACUUUUACUUUUCAAAGCAUAAUGGAUUUUGAU
rnacentral:lncRNA from 1 species